UACGUAGGGGGGCAAGCGUUGUCCGGAAUUAUUGGGCGUAAAGAGCGCGUAGGCGGUCCGAUAAGUCGGCUGUGAAAGUCCAGGGCUCAACCCUGGAAAGCCGGCCGAUACUGUCGGACUAGAGUCCGGAAGAGGCGAGUGGAAUUCCCGGUGUAGCGGUGAAAUGCGCAGAUAUCGGGAGGAACACCAAUGGCGAAGGCAGCCUCUCUGGGUCGGUACUGGACGCUGAGGAGCGAAAGCGUGGGGAGCAAACAGGG
rnacentral:rRNA from 1 species